rnacentral:tRNA from 1 species
CGGGAUAUAGCGCAGUUUGGUAGCGCGCCUGCCUUGGGAGCAGGAUGUCGCAGGUUCAAGUCCUGCUAUCCCGA